rnacentral:rRNA from 1 species
UAUCGGUGAUCUUUACCACCCAUUAUGACAUAUUAGGGACGCCCCCUUUCUAAAUAGCGAUGAACUACUCGGAUACAAUCUAAUCGAUCAACCAUCCCAUUUCCGGAUGGUUCCGCUACUAGAUAUCGACCAGACUCUCCUACUAGUCGGUGUGACCUUGACUCUAUGCCAGGUCUGAGGAUGCCCUCCGUCGUCACCCCUUAUAACCUGUUACCCGCGUUCGGACUAGGUCGAUACGGCGCACUCACUCCUUCCGGAAUCCCAACAUUUUGAGAAAGUCAUCCCUUCUAUUACU